AAACAUAAACACAUGUAAAGGCAUUCCGUUGCCAACAUUUUCUAUCAUCAGAAGUUCUAGUAUAAUUCCACGCAAAAAGGUUUCAGAUUCCUCAAGAUGAAAGCGAUCAUUCUAACACUUUUCGUGGGACUACUCCUGCACUGCUGUGAAGGGUGUCCGGAAAUGUUAGAGGAUAGCCCCUGCUUCUGUGGCUGUUACGAUACGUUAUAUAAUUGCCAGAUAAACUGUGAGGGCAUGUCAUACAGCGCGCGUUAUAGGUGUCGGAGAUCGUGUAUAAACAGUAUCUAACGCUGCAACAGAAGCUGCCUGCCUCUUCCAGCUAACUGAUGAUGGACUGACAUUGAAAACAUAUUUGAAAUAAUGUUAAAGACCAAAUUAUAUAAACCAUGAACAAAAGAUUUAAAGAAAUGUUACAUUAACAAUAAAAUGUGAACAAGCACAA